UACGUAGGGUGCGAGCGUUAAUCGGAAUUACUGGGCGUAAAGCGUGCGCAGGCGGUUCGCUAAGACCGAUGUGAAAUCCCCGGGCUUAACCUGGGAACUGCAUUGGUGACUGGCGGGCUAGAGUGUGGCAGAGGGGGGGUAGAAUUCCACGUGUAGCAGUGAAAUGCGUAGAGAUGUGGAGGAAUACCGAUGGCGAAGGCAGCCCCCUGGGC
rnacentral:rRNA from 1 species